ACGCUCGACACCUACGGGAGGCAACAGUGGGGAAUAUUGCACAAUGGGGGAAACCCUGAUGCAGCGACGCCGCGUGGAGGAAGAAGGUCUUCGGAUUGUAAACUCCUGUUGUUGGGGAAAAAGAGGAUGGUACCCAACAAGGAAGUGACGGCUAACUACGUGCCAGCAGCUGCGGUAAUCUGAGCGGGCUGGCAAGGC
rnacentral:rRNA from 1 species